CCUACGGGAGGCAGCAGUGAGGAAUAUUGGUCAAUGGCCGGAAGGCUGAACCAGCCAUGCCGCGUGAAGGUCAGUGCCCUAUGGGCGUUAAACUUCUUUUGUGCGGGAGCAAUAAUGGUCACGUGUGGCCAGACGAGAGUACCGUACGAAUAAGCAUCGGCUAACUCCGUGCCAGCAGCCGCGGUAAUACGGGGGAUGCAAGCGUUAUCAGGAUUUAUUGGGUUGAAAGGGGGCGUAGGCUGUGAGGUAAGUCAGCGGUGAAAUGCCCCCGCUCAACGGGGUGAAGUGCCAUUGAUACUGCCUUGCUGUAAUGCGGAUGCCGUGGGAGGAAUGUGUGGUGUAGCGGGGAAAUGCAUAGAUAUCACACAGAACACCGAUUGCGAAGGCAUCUCACGAAUCCGCGAUUGACGCUGAUGCACGAAAGCGUGGGUAUCAAACAGGAUUAGAUACCCGAGUAGUC
rnacentral:rRNA from 1 species